rnacentral:rRNA from 1 species
AACGAACGCUGGCGGCAUGCCUAACACAUGCAAGUCGAACGAGAGCUUCGGGUUUAGUGGCGCACGGGGGCGUAACGCGUGGGAACCUGCCCUUAGGUCUGGCAGAACUCCCCGAAAGGGGUGCUAAUACCGGAUAAUGUCUCCGGACCAAAGGUUUAUCGCCUUUGGAUGGGCUCGCGUUGGAUUAGUUAGUUGGUAGGGUAAAAGCCUACCAAGGCGUGGAUCCAUAGCUGGGCUGAGAGGAUGAUCCGCCACACUGGGACUGAGACACGGCCCAGACUCCUACGGGAGGCAGCAGUGGGGAAUAUUGGACAAUGGGCGGAAGCCUGAUCCUGCAAUGCCGCGUGAGUGAUGAAGGCCGUAGGGUUGUAAAGCUCUUUUACCCGGGAUGAUAAUGACAGUACCGGGAGAAUAAGCUCCGGCUAACUCCGUG